rnacentral:lncRNA from 1 species
AGGACUUCCAGUACUAUGUUGAAGAGGAGUGGUGAGAGUAGUCUCCUCGUCUUGUUCCAAUUCUCAAAGGGAAUGCUUUCACCUUUUCCCCAUUCAGUAUUAUGUUGGCUGUGGGUUUGUCAUAGAUGGCUUUUAUUACAUUAAGAGAGCCUAGAAAAUAUCACCUAGUGAAUAUCUACUUCCAUGAGACUUCAAAAAACCAGAGCUUUUGCUGGGGAUAUAUGCUCCUUCCAAAGGCGAUUGAUUGUGUGCAAUAUUCUGAGAAGUAAUUCCUCCAAAGGUGGAUAUUGAGGGAGAAACAGAAAAAUCCAAGACAAUCCCUUGUGGAAGAAAAUUCUCCAACCCAAAACUCAACCGAACUCAAAGGGCUGAACAGCGCGUCAAUUAAGACCUGUCAAAUAUAAUCACACGAUCUAAUAGUUUUAAAUACGCAAAAUAAAGAGCACCAAAGUAAAUGUCAUUCAGAAAUAACAACAACAAAACCAGAGCACCCCGAUGCAUUUAGGCCUCAAGGAAUUC